rnacentral:piRNA from 1 species
UGGCAGGAAUAUAGAGGUGAUCCAGCCUGUU